UGGCCAGACUCCUACGGGAGGCAGCAGUGGGGGAUAUUGCACAAUGGGGGAAACCCUGAUGCAGCGAUGCCGCGUGAGUGAAGACGGCCUUCGGGUUGUAAAGCUCUGUCGCAGAGGACGAAAAUGACGGUACUCUGUAAGAAAGCUCCGGCUAACUACGUGCCAGCAGCCGCGGUAAUACGUAGGGAGCAAGCGUUGUCCGGAAUUACUGGGUGUAAAGGGAGCGUAGGCGGGAGGAUAAGUUGAAUGUGAAAUCUAUGGGCUCAACCUAUAGCUGCGUUCAAAACUGUUCUUCUUGAGUGAAGUAGAGGCAGGCGGAAUUCCUAGUGUAGCGGUGAAAUGCGUAGAUAUUAGGAGGAACACCAGUGGCGAAGGCGGCUUACUGGACUGUAACUGACGUUGAGGCUCGAAAGCGUGGGGAGCAAACAGGAUUAGAUACCCGGGUAG
rnacentral:rRNA from 1 species